CCCAUUUGUUCAGCACUUGGACGGAGAUGCCAGCAGCUUCCAGGCAGAGGGAGAAUCGAAGGCAAGUUCAAACUCAGAAGGCGAAAGUCCAGCGGAAAGUACCGGAACUGAGGGAAAACUAUUUGCCUAACCACCCACACCACUGAAUGCUUUCUUGGAAUCUGCUGUGUGUUUAAGAUGAUAUCCUACCCACACACAUGUAACCUUUACCUUUUUGCAAACCAAAUCUGAUUCUACAAGGAAAGCACAAAAAUAAAAAUAUUUUUCUCUCAAAUUA
rnacentral:lncRNA from 1 species